AUGGGGAUGCUGGCUCCGGGACCGCUGCAGGGUCGCCGACCCAGGAAGGGUCACAAAGGACAAGAGGACGCCGUGGCGCCCGGGUGCAAGGCCAGCGGGCGCGGCAGCCGCGUCACCCACCUCCUGGGGUACCCGACGCAGAACGUCAGCCGCUCCCUGCGCCGCAAGUACGCGCCUCCCCCCUGCGGCGGCCCCGAGGACGUGGCCCUGGCGCCCUGCACCGCCGCCGCCGCCUGCGAAGCGGGCCCCUCCCCGGUCUACGUCAAGGUCAAGAGCGCGGAGCCGGCUGACUGCGCCGAGGGGCCGGUGCAGUGCAAGAACGGCCUCUUGGUCUCCAGCCCACACUGUGAAGAGCCUUGUGCCCACAGCUGUGCACAUCCUGGGCUUCCUCCACACCUUGUCCAUAAACUGCCCCUCAGCUACCUUCAGACCCAGGAUACAGACGCAGCCUCCAGAAGAAUAAAUGCUCCAUUAGCAGCUGGCUGGAGCUGGCUGAGGCUCUGGCUGGUGACUCUGGCCUCUGGUGUAGACUUCCCUCAGGUGAGUGCAUGGAUGAGAGCUCUACCUUCUCCUGACUGCCCAGGCCUCAGGACAACAGGAGAACAGAUGCAAAAACUAUUGCUCAAGGAAAAUAAAGUGAAAACGAGGAAAAGCAAAAGAAGAUCUGGAGAGGGCUCUCACCUGACCACAAGCAUCCUGGAGCAAUGA
rnacentral:lncRNA from 1 species